AAGGAUGCAAUUCUUAACUUUUUCUGAACUCCACUGAAAAUAUAAAAACUGCACACAUCCAGGGCUGGCCUAUGUAACCAGUAGAAAACUGUGGAAGUGAUGGGGCAGGACCAGUAGAAUACUAGAGAAGUGAUGGCGUGGGACAACUUCCAAGGCCGCAUCACAGAAGGCAUUGCAGCUUCUGCCGUGGUCUCCUGGACUGCACACUGGGCAAGCCAGGCACCAUACUGUGAGGAUGCUCAAGCAGCCCCGAGGAGAGGCACACGUGGAGAGGAACUGAGGCCUCCUGCCAACAGCCACGUGAGUGCACCACCCAGAAGUGGGUCCUUCAGCCUCAGACAGGCUUUCAGAGGACUGGAGCCCUUGCUGACCUCUGACUGCAGUCCUGUGAGAGACCCUAAGACACAACUUCCCACUCACACUGCUCCUGAAUUCCUGACCACAGAAACUGUGAGAGAUGUGAAGUGCUUAUUGUGGGAAGCUUUGUUAUGUACUUUCUUACAUAAUGCUAGAUUACAAGUGCAGUUGCUGCCCAUGGGUGCCACCUGCUGGUGUUCCUGCCCCUGUGUACCCCCUCCCCUUGAGUGUGUGCCGUGAUGGGAUGUCACUCUGAGACUGCACAGCAAAGCCUCUGGCUUCUACCUUUCUCACUCUCUUGCUCUCUUGUCUCCCUUGCUCUGAGGGAAACUGGCUGCCAUGUUAUAAGCUGCUCUAUGGAGAGGCCCAUGUGGCUAAGAAUUGAGGGAGGCCUCCUGCUGAUAGCCAGUGAGGACCUAAGGACCUCAGUCCCACAUCUGGUGCAGAGCUGCACUGGCCAACAACCAUGUGGCUGAGCUUGGAAGUGGAUCCUCCCCCAACUGAACCUUGAAAUGACAGACGCUCCAGCAGGCACCAUGAUGCCAGCCUUGUAAGAGACCCUGAGCCAGAACACACAGCUGAGAUGUGUCUGGAUUCCUGACCUGCAGAAACUGUGUGGCAAUAAACAUUUGUUGUUUUAAAGCUGCUAAGUUUGGGGGCCAUUUGUUACACAGCAGCAGAUAACAAAUACAGUUCUGAUUAAUGGCACCAGCCUCACCUGUCCUAUUCCUAGAUAUGCUUAGCUUAGCUUUGGUCUAGACUUGGGUCUCCAUGUACAACUAUAACCUUGGUCAUCUGAAGCUCAGAGUAGGAGGGGGUGUAUUGAGGGAAUGAGACUACGAGGAGGCACACCCCAAUAUCUGCUGCUUUCUGGAAAACUCAGCCUCCAAAACUAAGUCAGCAACCAUAGGAGAUGGCCGUUGCAAGGUGGUUAAGCAUAAGGGAAUAACACAGGUUCGGAGCCAGCUUCUACCACCUCUUUCCUUUAACAGAGUUACAGGUCCUCCCUGAGCUCCCAUUUCUCAGGGGCCCUCCUGAAGCAGAGAAGGAAGCCACAACAUGGGCAGUCUAACUAGCACCAGCCAGAGAGCAGACACGAAGACGAAAGGAGAGGUUCUUUGUAAGGAACUUAGCCCUGGAACACGGCAGGUGCUUGUUAUGAGCUUGGCCUUGUAGUUAUCAGGGCACUUGGCAUCAUAGGCAUCACCCCAGCCACUGUUGGCAUGAAGACCUUGCAAUGCCAUCCUGGUUCCUGGACCCGGGCAUAUUAACGAUGAUGCCCACAUCUGAAGGACAAGAAGGUCUCAGUCGUGCAAUCACAGAGGAUUCACCUGGAGCUUCCCUGAGGAAUGUUCUUUUGGGCCGAGUCACCCGCUUGCUCCGGUGAGGCUGAGCUUGAGCUUUGAAUCCUGCCUGGAAUACAAAGGCCCCAUCAAACACUGCCAGGCUCACCAGCUCCCCUCCACCGCAUGCGCCAAGGGUCUCCCUCGCUUGGGUGUUUAUUUCUUGCUGUAAGAAGCGAUGAUUUAAUUCUUGCCUGGGAUAUCAUUCAGCCCAAGUUCGUGCUGAAGUGAGGCAUAUUUCAGCACUCACCAAUGUCCAUAUAGAUAAAAGAGAAAAAAAAGAGAGAGAGAAAACAACCUCAACCAGCCUCUUCAAGAGCUGUGCAUUUGAAACCUGUUUCUUAAAGAUGGAUUGCCCGUUAG
rnacentral:lncRNA from 1 species